GAUGAAUGCUGGCGGCGUGCCUAAUACAUGCAAGUCGAGCGAACAGACGAGGAGCUUGCUCCUCUGACGUUAGCGGCGGACGGGUGAGUAACACGUGGAUAACCUACCUAUAAGACUGGGAUAACUUCGGGAAACCGGAGCUAAUACCGGAUAAUAUAUUGAACCGCAUGGUUCAAUAGUGAAAGACGGUUUUGCUGUCACUUAUAGAUGGAUCCGCGCCGCAUUAGCUAGUUGGUAAGGUAACGGCUUACCAAGGCAACGAUGCGUAGCCGACCUGAGAGGGUGAUCGGCCACACUGGAACUGAGACACGGUCCAGACUCCUACGGGAGGCAGCAGUAGGGAAUCUUCCGCAAUGGGCGAAAGCCUGACGGAGCAACGCCGCGUGAGUGAUGAAGGUCUUCGGAUCGUAAAACUCUGUUAUUAGGGAAGAACAAAUGUGUAAGUAACUAUGCACGUCUUGACGGUACCUAAUCAGAAAGCCACGGCUAACUACGUG
rnacentral:rRNA from 1 species